AUUGAACGCUGGCGGCAUGCCUUACACAUGCAAGUCGAACGAAGUCUUCGGACUUAGUGGCGGACGGGUGAGUAACACGUGGGAACGUACCUUUUGGUUCGGAACAACUCAGGGAAACUUGAGCUAAUACCGGAUGAGCCCUUAGGGGGAAAGAUUUAUCGCCGAAAGAGCGGCCCGCGUUAGAUUAGCUAGUUGGUGAGGUAAAGGCUCACCAAGGCUACGAUCUAUAGCUGGUCUGAGAGGAUGAUCAGCCACACUGGGACUGAGACACGGCCCAGACUCCUACGGGAGGCAGCAGUGGGGAAUCUUGCGCAAUGGGCGAAAGCCUGACGCAGCCAUGCCGCGUGAAUGAUGAAGGUCUUAGGAUUGUAAAAUUCUUUUACCAGGGACGAUAAUGACGGUACCUGGAGAAAAAGCCCCGGCUAACUUCGUGCCAGCAGCCGCAGUAAUAC
rnacentral:rRNA from 1 species